GGGCCUAUAGCUCAGGUGGUUAGAGCGCACGCCUGAUAAGCGUGAGGUCGAUAGUUCAAGUCUAUCUAGGCCCACCA
rnacentral:tRNA from 3 species